rnacentral:lncRNA from 1 species
AUGGUGAUGCCAUCACAGUGACAUUGUAAGCACGGUGGUACCCAGCACGGUGACAAUGAUGGCACGGCGGUGUCCUCACGGUGAUGCCACCAGUGAUGCUUGAACACGGUGACACCCAGCACGGUGACAGUGUCCACACGGCGGUGCCCGUCCCCCUGCUCUCGUGGCUGUCCCGGCGGUGCCACCACCCAGCAUGGGGUUGUUUCUCCCGGUGACGGUGCCUGUCCCGGUGACGGUGCCCGUCCUUGUCACCACCCGUCCCGGUGGUGCCGGUGCCCAACCCCAGCAUCACCCCGCGGUGGUGCCCGUCCGGUGCCGAUACUGGGCCCGGUGGUACCCGGCCAGGUUGUGACCUGGAUCACUGUCACCCGGCACAACCGUGCCCAGCGUGGUGGCGGUGCCCGGUACGACGGCAGAUGGCGGUGCGGUGACGUCUGGGUGACACCAGUGGUGACACCAGCGGUGCCAUACCGGUGA